rnacentral:rRNA from 1 species
AUGAUGUCUCCAAGCGGCCCCAAGGACAAGUUUUUCGAGAAGGUCAUCAACCCUUACCUCGUGGAGGUGCUGCAACACCCUCAAACCAUUGAGAUGCGUGAGGGGGUGCUGCACAUCCGCGAUGUUGAGGGACCGAGGGGGACCGAAAGCGUGGAGACAAGACUCGAAGCAAUGGAGCAACAAGUUUUCAAGUGUCAAGGGAUGGUGGAACACGGACUCAACGCCAACCACAUGUUGAUCGCAGAGUUCACCAACAACCACAAGCUGGAUGCCAAUAACAUUGGGGAGACCAUCUUGAAGAUUCACGAGAAAAUUGAGCACCUCCAAGCCCAGAUCUAUGAACUGCAAAACCAAAACUGUGAGUAUGAAUAUAGAUUCAAGAGGAUGAGUUUGGCUGCAGAUUUGAGGAUCCCGGAGACUCGAUCAUCCUUCUAUGAUAGUGAGCCUAUGCCUUGGAAGAUGGACUACAAGCUAACAUCAUCAACAACUCCAUCAUCACCACCUCCGAAGAAAGAGACAUAA